UAUGAUUUGAAUAAUGUAGUGUUGCUACUGAUAUUUUAAACGCAAAUAAUUCUUGUGUACUUUCCCAGCUGAUGCAUCAUAAUCAAUGAACUACUACCAGUUGAAUGGGCUGACUCAUUGGCCUAUUGACCCACGUUCAAAAUAACCCUCAGAAUUUGAGUGUUAUAGAGAUGGAGAUGCUAUUGCCAAACCAGAUAGGCAAGCAAGUUGCAUACUUAGUAUCAUUAAGCCUGAUGGAGUUGUUAUUACUGGGUGUAUGGGAACUGCUGAGUCAUGGCCUGAACCACUGAUUGAGCACCUAGAGGAAAGACCCAGUCAGCCCUGGGAGAAUUCACCUGUGCGACCAGAAGGCAUCAUUUAAGGGCUGACUGGAGUUCCCUCCUUGGUGGGAGCCUUUCCCUGUGAGCCCAAAAUCUUCUGAUCUGGGUGAGUGCUCUAUUUUCCUUGCACUUUUUUUGUAAUGCUAUUUCCAUCGCAUUAGUCCUCCUGCUUGCUACACUGGGUCAUUUUGCAAGCAUUUUACAUCCUGCACGUGAUACUUAUAUAUAUGUAUGUAUA
rnacentral:lncRNA from 1 species